rnacentral:rRNA from 1 species
AUUGAACGCUGACGGCAGGCCUAACACAUGCAAGUCGAACGAGUGGCGGACGGGUGAGUAAUGUCUGGGAAACUGCCCGAUGGAGGGGGAUAACUACUGGAAACGGUAGCUAAUACCGCAUACAAUCGGAUGUGCCCAGCUGGGCGUAGCUAGUAGGUGGGGUAACUGCUCACCGAGGCGACGAUCCCUAGCUGGUCUGAGUGGGUGACCAGCGAAACUGGAAAGGAGAAACGGUCCAGACUCCUACGGGAGGCAGCAGGGGGGAAGAUUGCAAAAUGGGAGCAAGCCUGAUGCAGCCAUGCCGCGUGUAUGAAGAAGGCCUUCGGGUUGUAAAGUACUUUCAGCGAGGAGGCGUUACUCGCAGAAGAAGCACCGGCUAACUCCGUGCCAGCAGCCGCGGUAAUUC